rnacentral:rRNA from 1 species
GGUUAAGCGACUAAGCGUACACGGUGGAUGCCCUGGCAGUCAGAGGCGAUGAAGGGCGUGCUAAUCUGCGAUAAGCGCCGGUAAGGUGAUAUGAACCGUUAUAACCGGCGAUACCCGAAUGGGGAAACCCAGUGUG